AGCAGGAUGGUCUAAUGGAUAGGGCAUAGGCCUGGGAGCCAGAGGACCUGGGUUCUAAUCCCAGCUCUGCCA
rfam:Ornithorhynchus anatinus chromosome 5, whole genome shotgun sequence.